GACUCCGUGGCUACAGAACGAACGCUGGCGGCAUGCCUAACACAUGCAAGUCGAACGAGACCUUCGGGUCUAGUGGCGCACGGGUGCGUAACGCGUGGGAAUCUGCCCCUUGGUUCGGAAUAACAGUUAGAAAUGACUGCUAAUACCGGAUGAUGACGAAAGUCCAAAGAUUUAUCGCCGAGGGAUGAGCCCGCGUAGGAUUAGCUAGUUGGUGAGGUAAAGGCUCACCAAGGCGACGAUCCUUAGCUGGUCUGAGAGGAUGAUCAGCCACACUGGGACUGAGACACGGCCCAGACUCCUACGGGAGGCAGCAGUGGGGAAUAUUGGACAAUGGGCGAAAGCCUGAUCCAGCAAUGCCGCGUGAGUGAUGAAGGCCUUAGGGUCGUAAAGCUCUUUUACCAGGGAUGAUAAUGACAGUACCUGGAGAAUAAGCUCCGGCUAACUCCGUG
rnacentral:rRNA from 1 species